GCCUGGGUGGCUCAGUCGGUUAAGCGUCAGACUUCAGCUCAGGUCAUGAUCUUACAGCUCGUGGGUUCGAGCCCCACGUCGGGCU
rnacentral:tRNA from 1 species